rnacentral:lncRNA from 1 species
AUGUACAUCUCAACUAGAAGAGGAAAUUGCAUCCAAAUAAAUAAGGUGACUGGAACACUAGCAACAAAAAUCAUUGGAAUAACAAUCCAUGAUUGUUCAUGGAUCAUAAUGAAAAGGGCAGAAGAAAAGGCAACCAUCAUGGUGGCAAUAGAGAUGAAUAAGGUGGAAAGGCCUAUUAUCAUCUUUGUUGGUAAGGAUUUAAGGAAAUCAUCUUCCGCAUAA